AACAACGCUAUCUGCAUGCUGGUAUUCCGUGAAGAAGCUCCCUGUGUGCUGUGAGCCUUUGGAAAAAUAAUUCCAUAUUUUAUAACAAAUAACCAUUGAAAACUGUACAGUAAUGGGAAAUACUGAAGUGUAGUUUUAUAUAAUUUUGUCUUCAUCUUGUGAGAUUUAGUUUAUAUUUUUAAAGUCUCCUGUCUCCUAUAUGUGUUAUUUUUGUUUGUAUCUUUUCUUAGUCUGACAAUGAUUUUUCUUUCUGGGGAAGAAAAUUUACAUAACCGCUCCAUAUGUAAAACAGUGUUGCUUGGUGAGUCAUGGUCACAAAAAGUUCCUUUGGAACAUGUGACUGAAUCUCUGCCUCAGCCAGUUUUUUUUUUUUUUUUUUUCCUAUGGCCUUCUUUGACACUCUAAGCCCAGAAGCUCCCCACUCGCCUGGCCCCUGCUCUAUGAAGGCCACAUCAGGUGUUACUGGCUUUCCCAGCUGCCUCCUGGCCCUUGAGGGUGAGAACAAACCUCUGGGGACAGGGCAAGAGGUCACCCUUUGAGCCAUCCCUGGACCUCGUGAAGCAGGUGCCACUUAAUUCUAGGAGUUGGAAGGGAGAGAUGCACCAGUCUCCUGCCUCAGCCCCGGAAUCCUGAUCAGGGUGUGAUGCGUUGCUACCAGUCUGCUCAAGAAGCAUCUUUCCAUGGGAGGUGGGGAGUUCAGUGUGUGGGUCUGCUGCAAACACAGCUGGAGCUGGAUAGCCAGGCACCCCUGCAGAAGUUCACCCAGAAGCUGGCAGACUGUCAUUCUUUGAUCCCAGCCCCACUCUGAGACAUGAGCUGAUGGGUGAAUGAAGGAGAAGGCACUUUGCAAAGGCCACGUUUGAAGCUGGAUCUGAAUCCUCUCCUAGCAGCUCAGACCCUCUGCUUUUGCUCUUCAGUCAAAAAGGAAAAAUGCAAAAGACUUGGACAAUUGGGAUUCUGGCUCAUUGGUUUCAUAGUUGUACAUCUUUGGACAAGUUACUUACCCUGUCAAAUACUCAAAUUCCUCAUCUGUAAAAUGGAUUAUUUGAAGAGAAAUAAGAUAAUGUAUUUGCAUAUAAAGCCCUUAGCACAGUGCCAGGCCCUCAGUAAAUGUCAGCUCCCUUCUUUCCUUCCCCUUUUGCAAUCCCAUCUUUUUAUAAUGAGAAUUGACAGUAGGUGGGAAAUUCAUUCCUCCUGGACCAGCCCUACGCAAAGCUGAAAGUCCCAUGUCUCUCUCCUACCUAACUCUUCAUCCAGUUACUCCCCAUACCUCCCAGGUACACCCACCUAGGAGUCUACUUAUCCAGAGAUCUGCCUUUCCUAUGUCUGUCCCUUGGGUUUGCAAUUGCUCCUUCAGGGCAGUGACCACAGCUUUCUGACUUGAUGGGUAGCGUAGAGCACAAAAUCAGACAGAUGCUGUAACAGAACAAACCCUUCUAUUGCUCUGCCAUUGUUUUACAACUCUCAUCUUUCCUCUACUUCCUUCCCAUGGUCUGGAUCUAACACCUAGAAUGGCUCCAGUUCUGAAGCUGAACACCCAACUUUCUUUCUGAUAACAGCAUCCCACCCUUGCAGCUCAUUCACUCCCUUAACACACACUUUCAACCCCAGUGUGACCUCUGGUUCCAGAACUGCUCAUUUGGCCCCCAACUCUUUUCUCCCUUUGGCUCUACUUCUUUUCUUACCAUGAUCCAUCACUUCAGUUGUUCUCUCACCAUUUCCCUUUACCUUCGUACCCCAUGGCUGUCCAUCUACUCCAGAACAGUCAGCCCUGGAUCAAUCCAGCCACUUACACUCAGACCAAUGAGCUCUGCUAAGGAAAAUCGCAUCACCAUACAAAUUCACACUUUCCAACCUCCCAGGGCUCAGUGCUGCUGGAAAUCCUCCAUGUGUCUUAGUGUUUCUCCCAUCUCCUUAGCAACUACUCCACAUUCCACUUUUUUUCCUUAAAUCUACCCUUCCAUCUUCCUCUGUCUCCUCAAUGACCUUGCCCCUUAGUUCUACGGUGGGAACUGAGGGCUUCUUUCAAGGUCUUCCUUGCACCCUUUAGCUGCUCAGAGAUUUCAGCCUGGACCAUCCUUUUCCUCUUCCUAAUUCCCUCAGUGGAAGAUGAUCUCACUCCAUCAAUCAUCCCAGAUUUCUUUAUUAAAUUUCAGAUUGUUCCACUCAAUUGGCCCUGUUCCUUCAGUGUGUAAAUUUGCUCACUUUUUUCUCCUCAAAAAAUUCCUGUCACCACAUUACUUACCCUUAUCCCCAGUUAUUAUAUUAUGGGUCAGGAGUAAAAAUGUUAAUAAGUGAAUAUCCACAGACUCUUCCCUUAAUCCACCCUCUAAUGAGAGUUCUGUCAUUGCCAUCUUGGCCUUUCCUCUCCCUCCUUCCGCAGGGGAAGGAUUGUCUUUGUCUUUCCUUCUGUUGCAGAAUCUGGGCAAUGAGGUAAGAGGGGACUAGAAGGAACUCAGAGUAGCUGAGUGGAUCUGCAUGGUAAACAGCUGUGCCAAAGAUGAGGAGGAAGAUAAGAGAACUUGCCUGAGUGGGAUUUCCAUAAGUAUUUUAGGGGAAGAGAUGGAGGUUUUAAAAAAUGUAGGCUCUCAGGUACCACAGUAGACUCACUGAACCAGAAUAUGCAUUUUUUUCUUCAUGAUAUGGAUUUAACAAGAUUCCCUAGGUAAUCUGUACAUUAAGGUUUGAGAAGCACACAAAUUAACUAAAAACAGACCAUAGGUAUAAAUAUGAAAACCUAAGAAUAUCAAACUUCUAGAAGAAAAUAUAGGGGAAACACUUAUGACCUUGGGUUGGGCAAAGAGUUCUUAGGUAUAACAAAAAACAGAGCAAACAAAAAACUAUGAUCCAUAAAAAGAAAAAAAUAGAUAAAUUGAACUUCACCAAUAUUAAAAACUUU